AAGUCGUAACAAGGUCUCCGUUGGUGAACCAGCGGAGGGAUCAUUACUGAGUCGUAAAAACUCCCAAACCCAUGUGAACUUACCUAUGUUGCCUCGGCAGGACUACCGGACCCGGUACCCUGCCUAGAUCCUUCUGUAGCCUGCCGGUGGACAUCUAAACUCUUGUUUUUUAUAGAAAUCUGAACGUCUUAUUAAAUAAGUCAAAA
rnacentral:misc_RNA from 1 species